GAAGCAAGCAAGCCCAGCCAGAUACACAGCCCACCUGAACCCCUACCCUGGGAGGGAGGGAGCACGCACCUGUGAAUCAGCAGCUAAGGGAGUGUCGUAGUCAACUUCCAGCAGUUGAAGGAUGCACAGCUUCCUCGUGGUCCAUGGCACUUGCUCUCUGAAGGGCAGCUCUUGAGAGGGAGCCUCUCAAAGAAAGGGACCAGCAAAGUGGAAGCAGCCAAACAAACAACUUUUAAAUCGACGACCCUAUGCAGAACCCCUUUGGUCUAAGUGAAAUCUGUAUUUUGUGAUACGCUGCUGCAUCCAAUCCUUUCAAAAAAGUCUUCCAAAAUCAGCUCUCACUUAAUGUACAAAUCUCUCGGGAGAACUUCCAAACAGGAGGAUCAGCUGGAGGUA